ACAUUUGACUUUUUGGUCAAAUAGUUGAGUUUUUGGUCAACUAUUGACCAUUGACUCGAUUUUGACUCCUGGAUUUUCCUAGACUUAUUCUAUAAGAAUUUGAUCAAAUGAUUCAUCGUCAUUAUUCAUAAAAAAAUGACUUAUAUCAUGAUUAUGUUACAAAUGCUAAUUUCCAACAAAUUCUAUCUUCCAUCGCUUCAC
rnacentral:lncRNA from 1 species